CGUAGGGUGCGAGCGUUAAUCGGAAUUACUGGGCGUAAAGCGUGCGCAGGCGGUUUUGUAAGACAGGCGUGAAAUCCCCGGGCUCAACCUGGGAACUGCGCUUGUGACUGCAAGGCUAGAGUACGGCAGAGGGGGUGGAAUUCCACGUGUAGCAGUGAAAUGCGUAGAGAUGUGGAGGAACACCAAUGGCGAAGGCAGCCCCCUGGGUCGAUACUGACGCUCAUGCACGAAAGCGUGGGUAGCAAACAGGAUUAGAUACCCUGGUAGUCCACGCCCUAAACGAUGUCAACUAGGUGUUGGGUGGGUAGAACCAUUUAGUACCGGAGCUAACGCGUGAAGUUGACCGCCUGGGGAGUACGGCCGCAAGGUUA
rnacentral:rRNA from 1 species